rnacentral:rRNA from 1 species
ACCGCGUGAGGGAGAAGGCCUUCGGGUUGUAAACCUCUUUUCUUGGGGAAGAAUUCUGACGGUACCCGAGGAAUAAGCCUCGGCCAACUACGUGCCAGCAGCCGCGGUAAUACGUAGGAGGCGAACGUUAUUCGGAUUUACUGGGCGUAAAGGGAGCGUAGGCGGUUCCUCAAGUCAGAUGUGAAAUCUUCUGACUCAAUCAGAAGAGGUCAUUUGAUACUGAGGGACUUGAGAGCAACAGAGGGAAAUGGAAUCCCCAGUGUAGCGGUGAAAUGCGUAGAUAUUGGGGAGAACACCAGUGGCGAAGGCGAUUUCCCAGGUUGUUUCUGACGCUGAGGCUCGAAAGCGUGGGGAGCGAAGCGGAUUAGAUACCCGCGUAGUCCACGCCCUAAACGGUGGACACUAGAUAUAGGAGGUGGGGGGCCCUUUCUGUGUCGAAGCUAACGCUUUAAGUGUCCCGC